GGGCGAAGACGGCGAGUGGAGGCUCGGGAGGGGCUGCGUGUGCGCGGAGGCGGGCUGUGGCCCGUGGCCGCCGCCGGAGCCUUUCGCUUGCGGUGAUUUUGGGCUCCCUCGGUUGGCAGUGUUGAUGUGUGCCUGUGAGUUGUGAGCGAGGCAGAUUUCCUCGCGUGGCCGGCACGACCUUCACCUUUGCAGAAGGCAACCGGGACCCUCAGUGAGACACCUUCCAUUUCCACCGUAGUCUUACCAUGGUCUGGGUUUUACAUUCGCGCGCUUUGGUAAACUAUUAAAGGUAGUAAAGUCGAUGGGCGAUUACCACCCAAAUACUUUGUCUCUUUUGGAAUCUCCUCUGCAUUUAAAGGAUUUGACAAGCCGACAUUUUAAACUGUUAGGAUUGUGGAGUAAAGGAAAAUAGGAUCGAAAAGCGAGGUUGAUUCCAGUUCAAAAGUUGCUGUGGUCCUGGAAAUGAGGAUUCUGGGCAAAACAAGAAAUUGGGUGGAACAGAAGGCAAACACUUUCCAGGUGGACAAAGACAUAAACAUGACAAAGC
rnacentral:lncRNA from 1 species